UCAGUCGGUAGAGCAUCAGACUU
rnacentral:piRNA from 4 species